UAGGGAAUCUUCGGCAAUGGACGGAAGUCUGACCGAGCAACGCCGCGUGAGUGAAGAAGGUUUUCGGAUCGUAAAGCUCUGUUGUAAGAGAAGAACGAGUGUGAGAGUGGAAAGUUCACACUGUAACGGUAUCUUACCAGAAAGGGACGGCUAACUACGUGCCAGCAGCCGCGGUAAUACGUAGGUCCCGAGCGUUGUCCGGAUUUAUUGGGCGUAAAGCGAGCGCAGGCGGUUAGAUAAGUCUGAAGUUAAAGGCUGUGGCUUAACCAUAGUACGCUUUGGAAACUGUUUAACUUGAGUGCAAGAGGGGAGAGUGGAAUUCCAUGUGUAGCGGUGAAAUGCGUAGAUAUAUGGAGGAACACCGGUGGCGAAAGCGGCUCUCUGGCUUGUAACUGACGCUGAGGCUCGAAAGCGUGGGGAGCAAACAGGAUUAGAUACCCUGGUAGUCCACGCCGUAAACGAUGAGUGCUAGGUGUUAGACCCUUUCCGGGGUUUAGUGCCGUAGCUAACGCAUUAAGCACUCCGCCUGGGGAGUACGACCGCAAGGUUG
rnacentral:rRNA from 1 species